AAAUCUAUUCAUUUUCUUACUCAAACAGUCGACCUUCUUCCCCAAAAAGAAGAACCACCAUUUUCUUCUUUCAAGUUAAUCUCGUAGAGAAAUUUCAAGUGUUAGCUCCAAUAUCUUGAAAGAAAAGGUUAAUUUCUUCGAUUCUCUGUUUUCCUACAAUUCUAGCUUGAAGAAAUUUAUUCUUUCAAUUCUAGGGUUUUCGAAAAUUGGGGAUUUAAUGUUAGAGUUGAAGGUUGAUCUUGAUAUUGAUAUAUAUGAUGUUUUUGAUGUUCCUAAGCAUGAUUGUGGUGGGUAAUUGCAGUAAUUGUUACUUGAUUUUGGAUUUUUUCUCAAGUUAGUGUAAACCCUAGGUUUGAGUUCGAAAAUUCUGGUUAUGUUCUUGAAUAAAUGAGUUUAUAUAUGUGCUCUUGAGCUGGAAUUAUGAUUAUAUAUGAGUAUAUUAUGAGUUUGCACUCUAGGGUUGUGAGAUUGAUUUUGUUAGUUUAGGGGAAGUUGGGGCUUUUGAAUUGAGAAGGUUUAUAUGCUAUUGUUUGAUGGAGAUAUGUAUAUUAUGAUGUGAUUUUAUUAAUUAUGGAGAUUAGAACAGCCCUACUACCCAAUUCUUUUAUAAAGCUCUGUUGUAUAAAGAGAGGGAAGUGAUAAAGUUGCUAUGUUUAUGCAUGUAGUUGAGAGUAGUAGCAUUGGUAGGGUUUAAUUUUAGCUCAUUGAGGUUUAUUUUUAAAGAGAUUGAGAUGAUUGAUAAUGUUAGUUUAUUAAACUAUAUUUGCGUAUUUAUUGAGAAUUGAUGAACAACUCUUAACUCAUUCUUUAAUUUUUCCUAUUAAGUUAAGUGGAGUAAGUGGUGUUUUUGUGUUGAUGAUGUGAUGUGAGGAAAUGUUAGGAUAAUAAGGGAAUAGCAAACAUGAGUUAUUAUUACAAUAUUAUAUAUAUAUAUAUUUUCCUUACUUAUUUUUCUUACGAAAUUUUUAUCUAUUUAAAGGUUCCAGCUAGGAACGAGCGUGACACUAGGGUACAAAGUGAGUAAAGAAGAUAUAUCAGGUGGGCUUACUAACUCAAGAAACAAUGAUGCAUACUUUAUUAUAUAAAGUUUAAGUGUAUGCAUUUAUUUUCAAAUUGUUGACUUGCCAAUGUUUAAGAUUUGUAUGAUACCAUCUACAUAGAAGAACGAAUUCGGGUCCUGAGCGAGUCAGGAUUUGUGUACACAGAGUGACGGUUAACCUUGAGUUAGCUUGUCGUUACGUUUGGGAAGGAGGCCUACUUCUCAACGUGUUUAUUGAGACUAGUAGAUAUGGUACAUACUUACAUGAGAACUUAGUCUGCGCAGACACUUUCAAAUACUAUGUAAAAACAGUUUAGCAAACACAGGUUGCUUCAGAAAAUCCCUUGUGUAUUGCUUAAAGUGGCAAGUUCAAUAUAUAGCAUUAUCAUGCAGAGUUUUAAAUGUUUUCGGCAUAUGUUCACUGAGUGCUUGUGGUACUCAGCCCUGCAUAUCUUUUUUAAAUGUGCAGGUUAAGUUUGGAUGAAGAUGGAAGUGUGCUGAGCUGGAGUUUUUUUUAUUUAUGUAAAUAGUAAUAGGCUCAGGAUAUUGUGUCUUCAUACAUAAUGUCCAAUGAUGUACUCUGCUGCAACACUUUGUCUCUCUUAUCACUUUUGCCGUGUUGUAGAAUGUUUUAAAAACCUUAACCUGUAUAUGAGCUUGACAAAUCUUGGUUAUGAUGUUUAUUUGGUUUAAACUUCUUUUGUUAAAGUUUGAUGAUGCCGAACCUUGUGAAAUUCAUUGAUUAUGUAUGUAAGUUGUUAAUUAUUUAAUUGUCUGAGUUUCC
rnacentral:lncRNA from 1 species